rnacentral:rRNA from 1 species
GACAGAGGGUGCGAACGUUGUUCGGAAUUACUGGGCGUAAAGCGCGUGUAGGCGGCAGCGCAAGUCGGGCGUGAAAUCCCACGGCUCAACCGUGGAAGUGCACUCGAAACUGCGCAGCUAGAGUCCUGGAGAGGAAGGUGGAAUGCUUGGUGUAGAGGUGAAAUUCGUAGAUAUCAAGCGGAACACCGGUGGCGAAGGCGGCCUUUUGGACAGUGACUGACGCUGAGAUGCGAAAGCGUGGGGAGCAAACAGG